CAGCAGCCGCGGUAAUACGUAGGUGGCAAGCGUUGUCCGGAAUUAUUGGGCGUAAAGCGCGCGCAGGUGGUUUAAUAAGUCUGAUGUGAAAGCCCACGGCUCAACCGUGGAGGGUCAUUGGAAACUGUUAAACUUGAGUGCAGGAGAGAAAAGUGGAAUUCCUAGUGUAGCGGUGAAAUGCGUAGAGGUUAGGAGGAACACCAGUGGCGAAGGCGGCUUUUUGGCCUGUAACUGACACUGAGGCGCGAAAGCGUGGGGAGCAAACAGGAUUAGAUACCCCGGUAGUCCCUGUCUCUUAUAC
rnacentral:rRNA from 1 species